CCUACGGGAGGCAGCAGUGAGGAAUAUUGGUCAAUGGACGAGAGUCUGAACCAGCCAAGUAGUGUGAAGGAUGACUGCCCUAUGGGUUGUAAACUUCUUUUAUAAAGGAAUAAAACGAGGCACGUGUGCCUUUUUGCAUGUACUUUAUGAAUAAGGAUCGGCUAACUCCGUGCCAGCAGCCGCGGUAAUACGGAGGAUCCGAGCGUUAUUCGGAUUUUUUGGGUUUAAAGGGAGCGUAGAUGGGUUGUUAAGUCAGUUGUGAAAGUUUGCGGCUCAACCGUAAAAGUGCAAUUGAUACUGGCAGUCUUGAGUACAGUUGAGGUAGGCGGAAUGCGUGGUGUAGCGGUGAAAUGCUUAGAUAUCACGAAGAACCCCGAUUGCGAAGGCAGCUUACUAAACUGUGACUGACAUUGAUGCUCGAAAGUGUGGGUAUCAAACAGGAUUAGAUACCCCAGUAGUC
rnacentral:rRNA from 1 species